rnacentral:rRNA from 1 species
GACAGAGGUGCCGAGCGUUAGGCGGAAUCACUGGGCUUAAAGCGUGUGUAGGCGGAUCGUUAAGUACCUUGUGGAAUCCCACGGCUCAACCGUGGAACUGCUGGGUAUACUGGCGGUCUUGAGCCACCUAGGGGCGAGCGGAGCAAGCGGUGGAGCGGUGAAAUGCGUAGAUAUCGCUUGGAACGCCAACGGUGAAAACAGCUCGCUGGGGGUGUGCUGACGCUGAGACACGAAAGCCAGGGGAGCGAACGGG